CAGGGAGUGGAAUGGUGAAAUACGAGUUCUAUGCUACACGCCAUAUGAAGUCUGACUAACAAAAGUUAUCGAAUUUAAGACCUGGGUGAGACGGCGCUGAACAACUAAGGUCGGUGUUGCCUAGCAAGAUUGCGAGGUGUUGGAGACGGGGCAAACACUGAAGGGGGCGAUCUUCAGCUGGAACCACGCUGCAAAGACUCUGCAGGACCGAGAGGUGUGGGAGACGGAGUAAAUGCCGAAUGAGGCGGCGUGCGGCUGGGCUGGCUGCUUCAAAAAAUUGAAAAGGCUGACUGCGUUAUUAUCA